UUUCUGGGCAAAUGUUUUGAAAGCAUCAAAUUUAUAACCAAGAACUUAGAACUUCCAAUGAUAGCAUCUUGUGAUGAGAAAAGUAUUGGCAUGCUUUCUAGGCAAAUGUUCUGAAAGCAUCAGAUCUAUAGUCAGGAACCCAGAGAUUCCAAUGAUAGCAUCUUGUGGUUUUCUUGUUGCAACAUCUUACAAAAGUUGUCUGUGACUCCAAUUUUGCUGAUGAAGAGACGAGGAAGAAACACUGCCUGUGAAAAGAAAGAAGGCAUCAAAAGAAGAUGAAAGAAAGAGGAAGAAAAAGGCAACAAAAGAAAAUGAAGGAAACAAGGAGGCAUCAAAAGAAAACAAUGGAACGGAAAAGAAGGCAUCGAAAGAAAACGAGGGAAGCAAGACGUUAAAAUCCAAGAAAGGCAAAAUGUCAAAAUGUGAGAUUCAUGAUGAAUCUUGAUUCAUAUUUAUUACAUGAGCAUGCUUGUGUGUACAAUCCAAAGCGCCGGAGUCAAACGUUGACAUGCAUUAUGACUAAGAAUGUAUGAUGAAAGAAGCCAAAGAUUGGAGUGCAGUUGCUGUGUGUCCUAUUUUUGCAGGAAGAAAGACAUUAGGAGUACAGGAAGCCUUCAUGUAUCAUUAACGUAGGGGCUAAUGUUUUUGUUAUUUAUUAUGCUAGGAGCUGAGACUAAGAUGCAAGUAGAUGACCAUAUUGUAGCAAAAUGACGAUGUUAAUUUAUUCAGUUUGUGGAAUUGUUUUUCUUUUAUUCCUGACUAGCGUGGGAAAGUC